rnacentral:rRNA from 1 species
CCUACGGGUGGCAGCAGUGGGGAAUAUUGCGCAAUGGGCGAAAGCCUGACGCAGCGACGCCGCGUGAGGGAUGAAGGUCUUCGGAUCGUAAACCUCUGUCAGCAGGGAAGAACGGUCACUGUGCUAAUCAGCAGUGAAUUGACGGUACCUGCAAAGGAAGCACCGGCUAACUCAGUGCCAGCAGCCGGGGUGAUACGGAGGGUGCGAACGGUAAUCGGAAUUAUGUGGCGUAAAGCGCUCGUAGGCGGUAUGUCAAGUCAAGGGUGAAAACCCCGGGGUUAAAGUGGGUACCGCCGUUGAAACUGGCAAACUGGAGUGUGUGAGAGGAUAGUGGAAUUCCAGGUGUAGGGGUGAAAUCCGUAGAUAUCUGGAGGAACAUCAGUGGCGAAGGCGACUAUCUGGCACAUAACUGACGCUGAGGAGCGAAAGCGUGGGUAGCAAACAGGAUUAGAUACCCGUGUAGUC